rnacentral:lncRNA from 1 species
UUGUAACCUGGCAUCCAUGUAGCCUCCUGGUGGAUGAGAGUCCUUUCAGGCAUCCAUUUCCAGAAUAGGAGGGUUUCUUCCAUAUUGAAUAUACUCUGGCAGCUCUAAGCGAAAGACAUGAGGCCUAAGACUGAAAUGAGGUUGUUUUGAGGCCAUCUGAUUUCUGACUAGAAGGUGUGCGAUCGCCUCGUCCUGAAACCACUUCAAACAGAAUGGUUUGCAAUUUUUUUUGGUGAUGGCAUGUUCAGAAUCUUGGAUCCCUAAGUUGAAUAUAUUGGAAAUAUUUAGGAACCUUGGAAAUUGUUUUUGUAUGCAUAAUGACUUACUAGGUGGAUCAGUAGGCUUAAUCAAAAGUAUAUAAAAGAGUUCUCUCUCGCCUCUGAAAGGAGCGUCAAAUCUCGAAGGACGCUUACUGCUUUACACAUUGAACUGAAGCUCCUGUCCCGAGCUUUGUCAUGUAAUGGAGCAGAAAUCCUCUGCACAGGGCCCUCAGCGUCCAGGUGCUGAGAACAGAGCCCGAGACGUUGAGGGGUGGCACUGCCCUCCUCGUAAGACCUGCGCCUGCUGGUUUAGGGGUGUUUGUUUCAUAGUCAAGUUGAAUGUUAAUGUUUUCUUUUUAAAAAUGAGCAUAUUUCUUCUAUAUUUUUUAUUAUUAUAAAUGUUUUUUUUUUACCUAACUGUGACUUUUUCUCAUGUCUUAAGAUAUCAAAUUCAUGGUGUAAAAUGUGUACUUUAGAUUAACAUAGUGACUGGAAAUUUAGGAUUCUGUUAUUUUUUGACUGAAAUUUGUAGCACAUUUUCGAGAAGAUUGUUCAGAUCCCCAGAUAAUUGGUUCUUUAUUCCUUUCAAGUUUCCUAAAUGUAUAAUUACUUCAGAAUUUUAUUAAUCCAUUUAUAAGUUUAGAGAAAGCUGUCUUCAGUUUAUAUUUUGACACAGAAUGGAUGUGUUUGAUUUAUCUUAUUCGGAAUAUGUUUUGACAAAAGUUUGCUUUCAAGUAGCUCUCAUCUUCGUUUUGGAAUCUCAGAUCACCUGCUUGUAAUCACUCAUUGGGACUUUUCUGCAAAAUACAGCUUCACUGAGAAGGUCGUCCUUGGAAAAUCAAGAAUUGGGACUGAGUGGAGAGAUGGAAGAGCGUCAUCAGAUUGAGCCCAGCACGUUCUGGAAACGUUAGACUGCAUUGCCUUUGUACAUGGACCAUAAUGUGACUGUCUUUUGUGAAUUGGACCUAUAGACAGAUAAAAUAACCUCGUAAAAUGUACCUUUACUGUAAGAAGAACACCACUCCAGUCUCUAGACCAUUCUGUCAGUACAGUGUGCUCCUGAUUACUCCCCUGCUGAAGGGGAGCCUGGGUCACUGAACUUGACUGAGAAGUAGACGUCGUGUGUUCUGGAUUUGAAGGUGAUUUUGUAUUUCCUUUUGGAAUGUGGUGUCUCGAUCUUUCCAACAUGAGCCUCACAAUUUCAUGCCCUGAGAGAGGAGCCCAAGUACCUCUGCGCUGACACUCGUUCUCUGUCCUUCUUUUUUCCUGUACUGUUGACUUCAGUGUGGGGAAAACAUCAAGCAUAUAGGAUUCCAGAAUUGGUCAGAAUCCUAUGAAAUCUAUCCCGCUUACCCUUCCAGGUAAUUUUAUUGCAUGUCCUUCCCGGCUCAUGUAAAUGAUGCCAAGUUUGGGGCCCUUUCUUAGGUCAGGAUAGAGUUACAGCCGCACUGUUCAGGCCUCUUCCUCCCAUUGUCACGUUUGGUCUUGCCUGCAGUGGGAGGUUUUCAGUCACUUUACUGUGAAAGAGUCCACUCGUGUCCUUUCGUUUCCAUCUGCCUUCCUGCAUGUUCUGGUGGGGAAAUAGAAUAGAUCUACACUUCGGGCUCUUAGCUGUCUAAGGGUUGCCUGUAAAAAUUCACAGCAUUGUAUUUACAACACAGCUUUUUAGCUGUGGUGUUGACAGUAGUCCCCAGUGGACAUCUGCUCUGUGCUGGGCGCCUUACCGGGUGUGGUUGUCCACUCUUCGUCUCCCCUGCUCCAUUCUCUUGAGGCCAGGAGUGAACUUCAUCAUGCCUCAGGCAUCAGAAGAACCAGAAGUCACUUCCUGUAAGCUUGCUGGUUCCUGGGGUCCUGAGUUAACGAGGUAGUAAGAGAUCCAUGUGUUCCCACCUGGAUGCUGGUAAAAACAGAUCAUGUGCAGAGAGGCCCGUGGGGAAUGGGGCGAAACAGGUGAAGGGGAUGAAGAGUUACAAACUGACAAUUAUAAAAUAAAUAUGCCAUGGAGAUGUAAUAUACAGCAUAGGGAGUAUAGUCAAUAAUAUUAUAGCCACUUUAUAGGGGGACAGACGGUAACUAGACUUAUUGUGGUGAUCAUUUCAUCAUAUAAAUAUCGAAUCACUAUGUUGUACACCUGAAACUAACGUAAUGUUGUAUAUCAAUAAUACUUCAAUAAAAAAAAAUCGUGCAGAAAAAGUGAUCAUGUCAAUAUGAUUUUUAAUGUAAGAUUUGUCAAAAAAAAAAAAAGGCCAAAUUUUAGGUUAACCUACGUGAACCCACAUUGAAUUUCCAGGUAUCUCUUACUUAAAAAAAAAAAAAUCGACCUCGUCCUUAAAAAACAUUACCUAAUUUGGUAAUGUCAGGGUAAUUUCCCUGACAUUUUCAAAAUGUGAUAUUACUCUAAAAAUUUUUUACACUUAGUUUUCAGAAACACGUGCAAAUAUGUUUUGUGUAAAAGAGUAUCUACUGUAUAUAAUAAUUUUCUGACUCUUGCUCUAAUAAAUAUUAAACUUAAGUGGUCUCAUUAUUUAAAACCUAAUAGUUGAAUUUUUUGAGUAAAAUUUUACAGCAUAUCCUAUCGUUACUUUUCAUGUAAUGUACAGAUACUCGUAGAAGCUGCCUAUGUGGGUUUGUUUUCCACAUAUAAAAAUAUUGUAAACAGAGUCCACGUCUUCAGUAAGAGUUUCUAGACCUUUGGCUAUAAUUACCAAGUGUUUGGGAUUGAGCU